UACGAAGGGGGCUAGCGUUGUUCGGAAUUACUGGGCGUAAAGCGCGUGUAGGCGGGUCCUUAAGUCAGGGGUGAAAUGCCAAGGCUCAACCUUGGAACUGCCUUUGAUACUGGGGAUCUUGAGUCCGGGAGAGGUGAGUGGAACUGCGAGUGUAGAGGUGAAAUUCGUAGAUAUUCGCAAGAACACCAGCGGCGAAGGCGGCUCACUGGCCCGGAACUGACGCUGAGACGCGAAAGCGUGGGGAGCAAACAGG
rnacentral:rRNA from 1 species